rnacentral:lncRNA from 1 species
ACUUAUUUUCUCUUUUUAUUUUAAAAUAAUAGCCAUCCUAAUGGGUGUGUCUUUAAAUUCUUAAUAAAACAUUUCCACGAAUUAUAAUUAAAGUAUAAUAAUUUAUUUCUAAACCCAUUUAUUUUAAAUAAUGCAAUCUCUCAAUUUAUUUCUCUUUUGUUUCUGAGUCGGGGGUAGACAAAAAGGCUCUUGGUAAAAUGUCCAAAGAACACCAAACCUGGCUGGGUGCUGUGGCUCACACCUGUAAUCCCAGCAGUUUGGGAGGCCGAGGCAAGAGGAUCGCUUGAGCCCAGGAGUUCCCAGUCUGGGCAGCAUAGUGAAACCCCUUCUCUACUAAAAAUACAGAAGUUAGCUGGGUCUGGUGGAGCAGUAUUUGGGGGAAGGUGCUGGGAUCAGGAGUGAUUCCUAAAGACUGGCUAGAAGGGAGGGCAUUCAAAGGAACUCUUUGUGGGCUCAAGGUUGGAGUUGAUAGAUUCAGCAAGAAUUUUUCCCUCUUCAACUUCGUCAGCCCAAUCCUCAGUAGGUAAAGUUGUCUUCUUGUCUGAUGCACGUGCUGCCCUUGCUGCACCUCUAUCACACCUGUGCCUUCUCUAUCAUGACACUUAAUCUACCGUCCUGUAGAUGGGAGUCCUGGCAGGACACAGAUAACCUCUUGGAGCAGUACUCUCCAUUCCUCUAUGGCAGGGGUUCCCAAUCCCAGUGCAGUGGAUUGGACUGGUCUGUGACCUGUUAGGAACCAGGCCACACACCAGGAGGUGAGUGGCAGGCGAGCCAGCAUUACUACCUGAGUUCCGCCUCCUGUCAGAUCAGUGAGGCAUUAGAUUCUUAUAGGGGUACACACCCUAUUGUGAACUGUGAACAAAGGGAU